GUGACUUUUCAACACAAAGGUUUCGAAGAAACUCGACGUCUUGGACGCAGGAAUGAAACCGAGCAGGCGGUACGACUUGUUUCUCCAGCAGGGGGGACUGGAAUGCUGGUUGUUGAUUCUUUGAGUGUAACGCAAUUUCUCACUAUGGAGUCCUUACUUGAUGAGAGCGUUCGCAGCGAGAUAAAUUUGCAGAUCGAAAGAGGUGGAACUCCUUUGACAGUAAAGCUGAAGGUAGGGGAUUUGCACUCCAUAACUCCAAAUCAUUUCCUGGAAGUUAGUGGUGCUGUCAUCCAUCCACUUUCAUACCAGCAGGUAAGCAACCCUGCUUUCAUUAUUCACGAAUGU
rnacentral:rRNA from 1 species